CAGCAACGCAGCACCAUGCCGCCGGCGGGGCCUGCCUUCCCACUCCACAGCGACGACGUCCUCGCGGAGAUCUUCCUCCGCCUCGGCCCUCUGAAACCCUCGCUCCUGCGCGCGUCUCACGUGUGCAAGCAGUGGCGAACCCUCGUCUCCGACCCCGGUUUCCUACGCCGGUUCCGUGCGCGCCACCGGCAACCCUCGCUCCUCGGCGUCUUCACGCAGCAGCACGGAAAAGCUCUCUUCCGCUCUGUUGUCGACCCUCCUGUUAUUCCUUCAGAGCGCUUCUCCCUGCGAGGCUACGGCUCGUGGGAUCUGCUUGGGUGCCGCCAUGGACGCGUCCUCAUCAUGAACCACACUGAGGGGAAGGCCAUUGUGUACGACCCCGUUACCGGCGACCAGCACCACAUAGCAGUUCCUUGGGAGUUCCGUCAGAAUGACGUGGUUGCUAAUAUCAAUGGUGCGGUGCUCUGCACGGGCACGGCCGACAAUGCACGACACAUGCAUGGCGCGUGCCGCUCAAGCCCCUUUAAAAUCGUUUUGGUAGGCGCCAGUACGGUCUACAUAAAGCACGACGUGCUAGCGCUAGUCCAGGCAUGUAUUUACUCGUCAAAGACUGGCUCGUGGGGCAACAAUGUCUCCGUGGUGCAACCAUGUGACAACUACAUUGCUGGUCACCAUAGCAUCUUUGCAGGUAACGCCCUUUACUGGUAUAUUCCUGGCAGUAUAAUAAAGUUUGAUAUGGGCAUGAAGAGCCUACGUGUGAUUCGGAAACUUCCUGUUGCAAAAGAUUGCUACGAUACAAGCCAUAUUAUCCGCUCAAAGGAUGGCGGUGUUGGCAUUGCUUUAUUGUCAUACCCUACCUUUCAAGUGUGGGACAUGAAGAAUGUCAACAACAAAAUCAAUUCUCGUGGUGGAACUACAUGGGUGCCGCGGAAGCCUAUUAAUCUUCAGCUAGGAUGUGGGAGUGGUAUAAGGAUGAAGCAAGCUAUAGUGGGGUACGACGAGGACGGGCAUCAAAUCUUCUUUCGAGUGGGGAGCAACAUCUUCAUUGUCGAACUUGUAUCAAUGAAGUCCAGUAAACCUUGGAGAAGCUAUUCUACACGCAAAUAUCAUCCUUACACGUGUUACUAUACCGCAGGU
rnacentral:rRNA from 1 species